AUAGAGUUUGAUCCUGGCUCAGAUUGAACGCUGGCGGCAGGCCUAACACAUGCAAGUCGAGCGGCAGCGACAUAGACAAUCCUUCGGGUGCGUUUAUGGGCGGCGAGCGGCGGACGGGUGAGUAAUGCCUGGGAAUAUGCCCUGAUGUGGGGGAUAACCAUUGGAAACGAUGGCUAAUACCGCAUAAUCUCUUCGGAGCAAAGAGGGGGACCUUCGGGCCUCUCGCGUCAGGAUUAGCCCAGGUGAGAUUAGCUAGUUGGUGGGGUAAGAGCUCACCAAGGCGACGAUCUCUAGCUGGUCUGAGAGGAUGAUCAGCCACACUGGAACUGAGACACGGUCCAGACUCCUACGGGAGGCAGCAGUGGGGAAUAUUGCACAAUGGGGGAAACCCUGAUGCAGCCAUGCCGCGUGUGUGAAGAAGGCCUUCGGGUUGUAAAGCACUUUCAGUCGUGAGGAAGGC
rnacentral:rRNA from 1 species